rnacentral:rRNA from 1 species
CUGCAAGUCGAGCGGUAACAUGGUUAGUAGCAAUACUAACUGAUGACGAGCGGCGGACGGGUGAGGAACACGUAGGAACCUGCCCAAGAGAGGGGGACAACCAAGGGAAACUUUGGCUAAUACCGCAUAAUCUCUGGCGAGAAAAGUUGCCCGUAAGGGUAGCGCUUUUGGAGGGGCCUGCGUCCGAUUAGUUAGUUGGUGAGGUAACGGCUCACCAAGACGAUGAUCGGUAACUGGUCUGAGAGGACGACCAGUCACACUGGGACUGAGACACGGCCCAGACUCCUACGGGAGGCAGCAGUGGGGAAUCUUGGACAAUGGGGGCAACCCUGAUCCAGCGAUGCCGCGUGGGUGAAGAAGGCCUUCGGGUUGUAAAGCCCUUUAGGCUGGGAAGAAGUGUGCGGGGUGAAUAAUCCUGUACGUUGACUGUACCAGCAGAAUAAGCACCGGCAAACUCUGUGCCAGCAGCCGCGGUAAUACAGAGGGUGCGAGCGUUAAUCGGAUUUACUGGGCGUAAAGGGCGCGUAGGCGGUUGAAUGAGUGUGAUGUGAAAGCCCCGGGCUUAACCUGGGAAGUGCAUCGCAAACGAUUCGACUGGAGUAGAUGAGAGGGUGGUGGAAUUUCCGGUGUAGCGGUGAAAUGCGUAGAGAUCGGAAGGAACGUCAAUGGCGAAGGCAGCCACCUGGCAUCAUACUGACGCUGAGGCGCGAAAGCGUGGGGAGCGAACAGGAUUAGAUACCCUGGUAGUCCACGCCGUAAACGAUGAGAACUAAAUGUUGGAGGGGGAACCUUCAGUAUUGAAGCUAACGCGAUAAGUUCUCCGCCUGGGAAGUACAGUCGCAAGACUGAAACUCAAAAAGAAUUUGACGGGGGCUCGCACAAGCGGUGGGAGCAUGUGGUUUAAUUUCGAUGCAACGCGAAGAUCUUUACCUACCCUUGACAUCCUGCGAAUCCCGAUGAGAGUUGGGGAGUGCCGCAAGGAACGCAGAGACAGGU